rnacentral:rRNA from 1 species
CCUACGGGAGGCAGCAGUGAGGAAUAUUGGACAAUGGAGGCAACUCUGAUCCAGCCAUGCCGCGUGCAGGAAGACUGCCCUAUGGGUUGUAAACUGCUUUUAUAUAGGAAGAAACCUUGGUACGUGUACCAAGCUGACGGUACUAUAAGAAUAAGGAUCGGCUAACUCCGUGCCAGCAGCCGCGGUAAUACGGAGGAUCCAAGCGUUAUCCGGAAUCAUUGGGUUUAAAGGGUCCGUAGGUGGAUAAUUAAGUCAGAGGUGAAAUCUUGCAGCUCAACUGUAAAAUUGCCUUUGAUACUGGUUAUCUUGAGUUAUUAUGAAGUAGUUAGAAUAUGUAGUGUAGCGGUGAAAUGCAUAGAUAUUACAUAGAAUACCAAUUGCGAAGGCAGAUUACUAAUAAUCAACUGACACUGAUGGACGAAAGCGUGGGUAGCGAACAGGAUUAGAUACCCUGGUAGUCCACGCCGUAAACGAUGGUUACUAGCUGUUUGGACCUUGUGUCUGAGUGGCUAAGCGAAAGUGAUAAGUAACCCACCUGGGGAGUACGUUCGCAAGAAUGAAACUCAAAGGAAUUGACGGA